ACGUAGGGUGCAAGCGUUGUCCGGAAUUAUUGGGCGUAAAGAGCUCGUAGGCGGCUUGUCACGUCGGGUGUGAAAGCCCGGGGCUUAACCCCGGGUCUGCAUUCGAUACGGGCAGGCUAGAGUUCGGUAGGGGAGAUCGGAAUUCCUGGUGUAGCGGUGAAAUGCGCAGAUAUCAGGAGGAACACCGGUGGCGAAGGCGGAUCUCUGGGCCGAUACUGACGCUGAGGAGCGAAAGCGUGGGGAGCAAACAGGA
rnacentral:rRNA from 1 species